rnacentral:rRNA from 1 species
AUAGAUCCUGAAACCGCAUGCUUACAAAAAGUAGGAGCCUCGAAAGGGGUGACUGCGUACCUUUUGUAUAAUGGGUCAGCGACUUACAUUCAGUGGCAAGGUUAACCGAAUAGGGAAGCCGUAGAGAAAUCGAGUCCGAAUAGGGCGAAUCAGUCGCUGGGUGUAGACCCGAAACCAAGUGAUCUAUCCAUGGGCAGGAUGAAGGUGCCGUAACAGGUACUGGAGGUCCGAACCGACUAAUGUUGCAAAAUUAGCGGAUGACCUGUGGAUAGGGGUGAAAGGCUAAACAAACUUGGAAAUAGCUGGUUCUCUCCGAAAACUAUUUAGGUAGUGCCUCAAGUAUUACCAUCGGGGGUAGAGCACUGUUUUGGCUAGGGGGUCAUGGCGACUUACCAAACCAAGGCAAACUCCGAAUACCGAUGAGUACAGCUUGGGAGACAGAGCACCGGGUGCUAACGUCCGGACUCAAGAGGGAAACAACCCAGACCGCCAGCUAAGGUCCCUAAAAUUGGCUAAGUGGGAAACGAAGUGGGAAGGCUAAAACAGUCAGGAUGUUGGCUUAGAAGCAGCCAUCAUUUAAAGAAAGCGUAAUAGCUCACUGAUCGAGUCGUCCUGCGCGGAAGAUGUAACGGGGCUAAGCCAGUUACCGAAGCUGCGGAUUUGCAAUUUAUUGCAAGUGGUAGGAGAGCGUUCUGUAGGCCUGUGAAGGUGGUGGUGUAAACCCUGCUGGAGGUAUCAGAAGUGCGAAUGCUGACAUGAGUAGCGUUAAAGGGGGUGAAAAGCCCCCUCGCCGUAAGCGCAAGGUUUUCUACGCAACGUUCAUCGGCGUAGAGUGAGUCGGCCCCUAAGGCGAGGCAGAGAUGCGUAGCUGAUGGGAAACAGGUCAAUAUUCCUGUACCGAUGACAAGUGCGAUGUGGGGACGGAGAAGGUUAGCUCAGCCAACUGUUGGAUAUGUUGGUUCAAGCCUGUAGUCGUGCUCGGUAGGCAAAUCCGCCGGGCUUAGAUGAGGGGUGAUAACGAGGGUGCUUGCACCUGAAGUGAGUGAUACCCUGCUUCCAGGAAAAGCCACUAAGCUUCAGCUUGUCAUUGACCGUACCGCAAACCGACACUGGUGCGCGAGAUGAGUAUUCUAAGGCGCUUGAGAGAACUCAGGAGAAGGAACUCGGCAAAUUGAUACCGUAACUUCGGGAGAAGGUAUGCCCCAAGUAGGUGAACUCGAACAGAGGGAGCCCAACGGGGUUGCAAAAAAUCGGUGGCUGCGACUGUUUAAUAAAAACACAGCACUCUGCAAACACGAAAGUGGACGUAUAGGGUGUGACGCCUGCCCGGUGCUGGAAGAUUAAAUGAUGGGGUGCAAGCUCUUGAUUGAAGUCCCAGUAAACGGCGGCCGUAACUAUAACGGUCCUAAGGUAGCGAAAUUCCUUGUCGGGUAAGUUCCGACCUGCACGAAUGGCGUAACGAUGGCCACACUGUCUCCUCCUGAGACUCAGCGAAGUUGAAAUGUUUGUGAUGAUGCAAUCUCCCCGCGGAAAGACGGAAAGACCCCAUGAACCUUUACUGUAGCUUUGUAUUGGACUUUGAACAGAUCUGUGUAGGAUAGGUGGGAGGCUUUGAAGCUGGAACGCUAGUUUCAGUGGAGCCGACGUUGAAAUACCACCCUGGUGUGUUUGAGGUUCUAACCUAGGUCCAUUAUCUGGAUCGGGGACAGUGCAUGGUAGGCAGUUUGACUGGGGCGGUCUCCUCCCAAAGCGUAACGGAGGAGUUCGAAGGUACGCUAGUUACGGUCGGACAUCGUGAUAAUAGUGCAAUGGCAUAAGCGUGCUUAACUGCGAGACUGACAAGUCGAGCAGAUACGAAAGUAGGACAUAGUGAUCCGGUGGUUCUGUAUGGAAGGGCCAUCGCUCAACGGAUAAAAGGUACUCUGGGGAUAACAGGCUGAUACCGCCCAAGAGUUCAUAUCGACGGCGGUGUUUGGCACCUCGAUGUCGGCUCAUCUCAUCCUGGGGCUGUAGCCGGUCCCAAGGGUAUGGCUGUUCGCCAUUUAAAGAGGUACGUGAGCUGGGUUUAAAACGUCGUGAGACAGUUUGGUCCCUAUCUUCCGUGGGCGCUG